rnacentral:rRNA from 1 species
UACAGAGGAGGCAAGCGUUGUUCGGAAUUACUGGGCGUAAAGGGCGCGUAGGCGGCCUUCUAAGUCGAACGUGAAAUCCCCGGGCUCAACCCGGGAACUGCGUCCGAUACUGGAAGGCUUGAAUCCGGGAGAGGGAUGCGGAAUUCCAGGUGUAGCGGUGAAAUGCGUAGGUAUCUGGAGGAACACCGGUGGCGAAGGCGGCAUCCUGGACCGGUAUUGACGCUGAGGCGCGAAAGCGUGGGGAGCAAACAGG